CCUACGGGGGGCAGCAGUGAGGAAUAUUGGUCAAUGGGCGGAAGCCUGAACCAGCCAAGUAGCGUGCGGGAUGAAGGCCCUACGGGUCGUAAACCGCUUUUGCACGGGGAUAACACCCUCCACGUGUGGAGGUCUGCAGGUACCGUGCGAAUAAGGGCCGGCUAACUCCGUGCCAGCAGCCGCGGUAAUACGGAAGGCCCGAGCGUUAUCCGGAUUCAUUGGGGUUAAAGGGAGCGUAGGCGGGCGUUAAAGUCAGCGGUAAAAUCGCGCGGCUCAACCGCGCCCUGCAGUUGAAACUGGACGCCUUGAGUGCAGAACAGGCAGGCGGAAUUCGUGGUGUAGCGGUGAAAUGCAUAGAGAUCA
rnacentral:rRNA from 1 species